GUGAAUCAUCAAAUCUUUGAACGCAAAUUGCACUCUCCUCGGAGAGUAUGCCUGUUUGAGGGUCAGCCUAUAAAAAUCGACAUCGUUGCUGUUUCGCGGUGGCGUUCGUCGGAAAUUGGGUCAUCUUAAAUCCUUUUGAUUUAAGCGACUUAAAAUUUUCUUUUGGUCCCAUGAACGUUUCUAAGAUCUAUUUCUUUACACGUUUAAGGUAUCGAAUGUCUUAUUAGACGUGGCCGUCAUAUCGUAUCGUGUCCAUAAUUUUUUUCGUUAACUGACCUCAGACAGGUAAGAGUACCCG
rnacentral:misc_RNA from 1 species